GAUGAACGCUGGCGGCGUGCCUAAUACAUGCAAGUCGAGCGAACAGACGAGGAGCUUGCUCCUCUGACGUUAGCGGCGGACGGGUGAGUAACACGUGGAUAACCUACCUAUAAGACUGGGAUAACUUCGGGAAACCGGAGCUAAUACCGGAUAAUAUAUUGAACCGCAUGGUUCAAUAGUGAAAGACGGUUUUGCGGUCACUUAUAGAUGGAUCCGCGCCGCAUUAGCUAGUUGGUAAGGUAACGGCUUACCAAGGCAACGAUGCGUAGCCGACCUGAGAGGGUGGUCGGCCACACGGGAGCGGAGACACGGUCCAGACGCCUACGGGAGGCAGCAGUAGGGAAUCUGCCGCAAUGGGCGAAAGCCUGACGGAACAGCGCCGCGUGAGUGAUGAAGGUCUUCGGAUCGUAAAACUCUGUUAUUAGGGAAGAACAAAUGUGUAAGUAACUAUGCACGUCUUGACGGUACCUGAUCAGAAAGCCACGGCUAACUACGUG
rnacentral:rRNA from 1 species